AUUGAACGCUGGCGGCAGGCCUAACACAUGCAAGUCGAACGAGUGGCGGACGGGUGAGUAAUGUCUGGGAAACUGCCUGAUGGAGGGGGAUAACUACUGGAAACGGUAGCUAAUACCGCAUACCAUCGGAUGUGCCCAGAUGGGAUUAGCUAGUAGGUGGGGUAACGGCUAACCUAGGCGACGCUCCCUAGCUGGUCUGAGAGGAUGACCAGCCAAACUGGAACUGAGACACGGUCAAGAAACCUAAGGGAGGCAGGAGUGGGGAAUAUUGCACAAUGGGCGCAAGCCUGAUGCAGCCAUGCCGCGUGUAUGAAGAAGGCCUUCGGGUUGUAAAGUACUUUCAGCGGGGAGGCGUUACCCGCAGAAGAAGCACCGGCUAACUCCGUGCCAGCAGCCGCGGUAAUAC
rnacentral:rRNA from 1 species